CCAGCUUUGGCGCUAUAUAAACUAAACGUGGAAGAGUACAAAGAAGCUUGGCAUGGCUCCUGCUCAAGGACGACAUGCAAAAUAUUGAAGUGUUCCAGCUUCGC